UUGGGCGUAAGAGCUCGUAGGCGGUUCGGCAAGUCGGAUGUGAAAUCUCCACGCUUAACGUGGAGGGGCCAUUCGAAACUGCCGUGACUCGAGUCCGGUAGGGGAGUUCGGAAUUCCCGGUGUAGCGGUGAAAUGCGCAGAUAUCGGGAGGAACACCAGUGGCGAAGGCGGAACUCUGGGCCGGAACUGACGCUGAGGAGCGAAAGCGUGGGGAGCGAACAGGAUUAGAUACCCUGGUAGUCCACGCCGUAAACGUUGGGCACUAGGUGUGGGGUUCUAUCGACGGAUUCCGUGCCGUAGCUAACGCAUUAAGUGCCCCGCCUGGGGAGUACGGCCGCAAGGCUAAAACUCAAAGGAAUUGACGGGGGCCCGC
rnacentral:rRNA from 1 species